rnacentral:rRNA from 1 species
AACGAACGCUGGCGGCAUGCCUAACACAUGCAAGUCGAACGAGAUCUUCGGGUCUAGUGGCGCACGGGUGCGUAACGCGUGGGAACCUGCCCUUUGGUUCGGAAUAACAGUUGGAAACGACUGCUAAUACCGGAUGAUGACGAAAGUCCAAAGAUUUAUCGCCAGAGGAUGAGCCCGCGUAGGAUUAGCUAGUUGGUGUGGUAAAGGCGCACCAAGGCGACGAUCCUUAGCUGGUCUGAGAGGAUGAUCAGCCACACUGGGACUGAGACACGGCCCAGACUCCUACGGGAGGCAGCAGUGGGGAAUAUUGGACAAUGGGCGAAAGCCUGAUCCAGCAAUGCCGCGUGAGUGAUGAAGGCCUUAGGGUUGUAAAGCUCUUUUAUCCGGGAUGAUAAUGACAGUACCGGGAGAAUAAGCUCCGGCUAACUCCGUGCCAGCAGCCGCCGUAA